rnacentral:lncRNA from 1 species
GGGCCACAUCAAGCUUUGCCUUUUUGCAGUCUGCAUUUCUCUCUGUUGUUAUAUAGAAGCUUUUGCUGUACUUUUUAACCAGGAUGAGUAUUUUUGUGUUUCCGUGCCUCUUGGGUCCCCAGCUAUUCGUGCAGUUGCAGAGCUGGCUACUCUUCUUACACUAGGUUGGUUUCUGUGUUUACUACCUAACUGAGCUGGUUUUAGCUGAGGCUAAACCCUGAUUAAUGACUAUUAAAGCAAAACGGUGCUUUUGCCAAGCAUAGGGGUUAAAUAUAGUUAUGUGCUGAUAAUUGGAUGUGGUAAACAACUCUAUUUUAAUGUCAAUAAUAUUUUAAAGACAACAGUUUAUAGGAAUGAACUAAUCUGCUGUUUAACAUCACAAUGUAGAUGAGCAUGUACCUUACUUUGUACAUGGAUGAAAUAAGACUUGCUCAGUUUGGAAAGGCCUCAUUUUUGCAAGGGAUAGUGUGUCACCAUGGUUGUUACUCUUACAAAUAAGAAUAAAGUACUGAAAGGUGUUGCCUAGAAAGGCUUGCACUUCUGCCAGCUGUGCUUAUGCAAUGUAGUUGGAAGAUGAAGUAACUGAAAGAAACUGUUAUGUAAACAUCAUUACUAGAAUGCUUUCAGAGAUCAAAAGGUAAAUCCCAGAAAGCCUUCAGCAGCCAAAAAUGUUUUCUUUCAUAGAGUAGCAGGGCUGACAACCAAAGACGACACUGGGUCCAUUCCCCUGCCCCAGUUAUAGUUAUGUCACUGUUGGCAUAAAAUUGCCUGAAAGGGCUCUGGGGCAGAAGACUCCACAGUUUGUUUCAGUGCUUCCCUGUCCUUGCUGUCAGCAAAUCCCCUACUAUAUUCUCCAUGCAUCUCUCUUGCAGCCCAUUUAUGCUAUCCACCAGGUCCACAGAGAAGAGCUUACUUUCCUUCUGCACAACAGUCUUUUACAUACCUAAAGAUUGCUGUUACUUCUAUUACAGCUGUUGCUCUUUUUCUAGUCAAAAUUAUAUUUGAAUUGUAUUUCUCUACUUAGAGGUAGCAUUUUCUAGAGCCCUUUAACGUUCCUGCUUCUCUCCUUCUGUGAUUUACCACUCCAGCCAUUGCCCUCACUGAUGCUGAACUGGUUUGUAUGGCUUGUUUGCUGUACUGCAGUACACACCCAAGUAUUGUGGUUUGUUUUUUCUUGCAGUGGUAUAAUCUUUAAUUUCCCAGCCUGUGCUCCCACGCUCCCUUUUGUGCAAAUUGUCUUGAACAUCUUUGAAGCGUUUUUUGCCCUUUUUUAAAAUUUCUGUAAUAAGCAAUAAUAACCUGCAUGUAAAAUUUCUGUGGUCAGGUUCAUUGUAUUUCACCUUGCAUUACUGAGAAGGUUUCUCUGCCUUUGGGUGAUAAUUUGAGCUCUAAUUUUGUCCAGUCCAUUUUCUGGUUGCAGAUUAACUAGACCAAGUCUGCUUGGAACUUGAGAAUCAUUCUAUUUCUACCGGAGACCACUGUUGACUGAUUUCUGGGCAUUUUGUUCAUCCUGUGGUUGCUAUUUCCUUGACAAGCUUAUGAAAAUCAAGGUAUGGAAAGACUUUCUGAAGACAAAUCAAAAACAGUCAUCCUAAAAUGCAAUUACUCAUGACUAGGCAAUUGUGGAAUCUUCUGUUUUGACCUGAAAGUUCUCUGCGUUGCCCUCAAUUCUGCGUUGUUCCCAGUGCCAUACAAUAGUCAUACUGUGUGAGGAAGGAAGGUAUGCAGUACCUGCCCAAGCAGCUCAGAAAUUCGGGAGCAGGGUUGAGGAUGGUGAAGUCUACAGAGCCAGAAGUGAAGAAGUGAGAAAAGCAAGCUCAGAGGAUAUCCUUUCUGUGCAUCCCGAAUGCCUUCACAUUACUUCCCAAGUACUCUUCUUACCUUGGCUUAGCGAUGAGAGCAUGGAAAUGAUGUUUCUCUGGUGAUCCUUUUUGCUGUUGUAAGUUGGAAUUUAUUUUUAAAGCAGUGUUUGAAAGAAAUCUGUAUGCUUAACACAAACUGCCUCUCCAAAUCUCUUCUGUAAUGAGUUCUAUGCAGCAAUAACAUUUCCUAAAGGUAUGUGCAUACUUACAAAACACUGCUUUAACCAUUUGGCUGUAAGGGCUUAAUCUGUCUCUAUUAUGUUGCCUACUCAGGGUUUGUGAAGUGGCUUCUGACAUUUCUUUGUGUUAGGUCUGGUUUAUGAAGUGCUUCUCUGAAUGAAUAGUGACUCUGCAUCGAGUGCUGUGCAAAACACAGGGAGGGGAGGUGAUCUAAGCACCCAAGAGCCGAACCAGAAUUCUUCAUGCACCCAAGACAAGCCACUGACAUUGUGCUGGAAGCUUUGUUUGCAAAGAAUAAUGCUGGAUUGCACUAUAAGCAAUGGCUCUUUGCCAAACAAUACACACGUUUCUCUUGGCAUGAAAUCAUGUAAUAUAAACAAUGGCAGGGAAAAAAUAGUUUGUGGAUAAGCAUAAGCUGAGAUAUAAAAACAUCAUGUACAAUAGUGAGCAGUAGGGAGACUGGAAAACGUAACGCAGGUUUCCUUUCUGUUUUGUUCCUUCUUGCUGGCACUCUCGUGAACUGUGCUUAUGGCACUGUCCUUUCCAACUGCAAAAACAUGACUUAACUAUCAAACUGUAUUUCUUAACUACCAAAAUUACUUCCUCAAAAGGAUCCAAACGCCUACUGGUUAUGAGCUGGGAAAGAACUGCACGCCUUAAGCCUGUUAGAAGUUUUGAUAAUGAAGCAGUUUCUAUUUUAUUGGUCUUUCAACAGCAGCUGUUGGUGAUUAGUUAAUCAGAAGUAUCUGUCUUAGUUGAACUUUUUUAAUGACUGGUGCUUGUUCAUGUUCUCGUUUUUUCCAUCUUUCUGGCAGCAGGUGGAGCCAGAAGUUCAGCUUUACACUAAGAGCUUACUGCUGUUGGAGUUCUCUACUCCUGAGGGCUUGCUUUUGUCUUUACCGAUACAAGAAUGUGACCCAGGGUUUGUCUCGCUGCUGGGUGCUGUGUCAAAACGUAGCUUAUGCUGUGCACUCAAGGCCAAUCUUGGGUAGAGGGAACUGCACGAACUGCUUCGUCUAUCUCUAGUAUGAUCAGUACUUGGCAGUUCAUAGUUGUCAGUGUUAGGCUGAUAGGGAUGUAGGACCAUCUGAGAAAGAGGAUGAAGGAAAAAAAGAGGUUUUAUUUCUCAAAGAACUGAAGUAAGGCAAAUCAGAAGGAAAGUGGGGGGUUGUAACAGAACUUGAAAUACUACUUGACAUUAGGAAGUUGCCUUCUGUGGGCAUCCCAGUGGUGCUUUGGUCCAGAGUGAGAGCCAGGACAAGUUGGGUUUCCUGUGUUUGUACAGCAAGAAGUGAGCUUUAUAAAACAUCUACUUUUCCCCUCAGGAAAACAGAUGAGAAAAAUGUGGUGCCAGCAAUGUCAAUCAAUCAAACAGAUCUAGAACUACCCUCAGGGAAACCUCAGCACACCACUGCAUUGACCACUGCUUGGUUGAGGGCUUGGCAUCUGCUCCUGAGGCAUUGCUUUGUCUGCAAGGAGCUGGAGGGGGUUCUUUGGUCCCACUCAGACACUGUGCAGUCAGAGAACUCAUGGGGUCAAGGCAGCCCUGCUUACAGCACUGCUUUGUUUUUCUUUCAAAUACAAGUUCAGAUGCUUUUAUUUUCAUAUUUGGGUUAGUCUGUAUUCAUCCUGCAGCAUCGUGUGCUAACACGGCACAGAUAAGAAGUGACCAUAACAAAUCCUGCCCCGUUGUUUCCCUCCUCAGUGCUGUCUGUCUGUCUGUAUGGUCUUGUUUGCAGAAAUCUGAGCAGGGACUGAGAUGUCUGGAAAAUCCCCAAGCUGUUAUCGGCUCUAGUCCAAAUAAAUAAGAGUAGAAAGCAACUCCCACUCAUUCCUGUAUGAAAUCCUAUUAAUUUUCCAUGAUUUAGGCUAUGUAUAAAGACCUGCAGGAGUAUUGACCCUUUGCACAAUGUGCAAACCAAACAAAGGCCUGGACCUUGGAUGAACUCCCAGUCCUUCCCUGGGGUCUGACACAUGGAGACCUAAUUCUCAACGUAAUACGCUCAUUCGGAAUAGAUGUGAAGUGAGAAUGGGGAAAAGCUGUCUGCAUUGCACAACUCCACUUGAAAUAACAGAAGGAACAGUGUGUAAGGGCAUAAUUCACACUGAGCACCUGACUGAGCUGUAGUUGGCUGUCCAACUCACUGGCUUGUCCUGCAGUGGUGGGGCUGGGGAGUGAACCCCCCUGCCUGGGGGAGAUGAGCAAUGGCUGAGACUGAAAAUCUCCUUUCUGCUCAGCAGGUGCUGUGGCUGCCCUACUGUAGGUGAGUACUGAUGGAGAUCCAACUGCUCCAUCAUCACAGAUGGGUGCAGGAGGAAUGCAUUCCUAUGAGGUGCUGCAUGGAUCUCAUUCUGGAUGCUGGGUGAAGCCUUAUUGGAGGGGAUGGGAGUUAGAUGCAUCCUUAAUUUGAGCCCCAAGGAGGUGAUGUGACCGAGAUGGGAGCAGUGCUUUAUGUUCAGUAGACAGCCACCCAACUCCAGUACCAUUUUUCUCUUCAGGAACACCCUGAGAAGACUGAAAUUUGGCUGCAACUCUCUUUGGUCACCUCUUCUUAGGGCACCCAUAGCAAUUAAUGCUCAUUAGCUGGUGAGCUCUAAGCCAUCAGUGCGUGCCUGACAGCCCUGCAUCUGGCACCAGGAAUGGGAUUUCUUUGGCAUCUAAGCACUGCACUCGUGAGUAAUUGUAUUGUGGAUGGUGCUGAUGGUAGAAAGCAGAAUGUUAUGAAUUGAAGAGGACAAAGAAAACCACGCAGUGGUAUGGAGGGCGGUGGAGCAGGCUGGCUCCAUCUCUGGGCUGGCUGUGCAUGCACAUGAACCAAAGCUGUGUCAUGGGGACAGUUUGUGUUGUCUAGACUGUAAUAAGUGCAAGGCAGCUGGAGCAUGAGCCCAGAGCCUUGGCCUUGCUGAUACUCGCCUCCCUCUCUUGCUCCUUCACAACAAGGUUAAGGGCAGCAGGAGGAAUGUGUGAGAAAGGGAGCGAUGUCUGCACGCAGUGCGGGCUCUGAGCAAAUGAACUCCAGCUUUGGUUCCCAGCACUGAAGUUAACCUUUGAGAGCACAACAGUGAAAACAAGAUGCCUGCCUGAGAUGGCUUACAUUUCUGGGCGGCUGCUGCCUUUGUAACUGAUCAUAGCAAUGUCAUUACAGGCAUCAGGUGGGUGUGG